GAUGAACGCUGGCGGCGUGCCUAAUACAUGCAAGUCGAGCGAACGGACGAGAAGCUUGCUUCUCUGAUGUUAGCGGCGGACGGGUUAGUAACACGUGGAUAACCUACCUAUAAGACUGGGAUAACUUCGGGAAACCGGAGCUAAUACCGGAUGAUAUUUUGAACCGCAUGGUUCAAAAGUUCAAGACGGUCUUGCUGUCACUUAUAGAUGGAUCCGCGCUGCAUUAGCUAGUUGGUAAGGUAACGGCUUACCAAGGCAACGAUGCAUAGCCGACCUGAGAGGGUGAUCGGCCACACUGGAACUGAGACACGGUCCAGACUCCUACGGGAGGCAGCAGUAGGGAAUCUUCCGCAAUGGGCGAAAGCCUGACGGAGCAACGCCGCGUGAGUGAUGAAGGUCUUCGGAUCGUAAAACUCUGUUAUUAGGGAAGAACAUAUGUGUAAGUAACUGUGCACAUCUUGACGGUACCUAAUCAGAAAGCCACGGCUAACUACGUG
rnacentral:rRNA from 1 species